CCUACGGGUGGCAGCAGUGAGGAAUAUUGGUCAAUGGCCGAGAGGCUGAACCAGCCAAGUCGCGUGAGGGAAGACGGCCCUACGGGUCGUAAACCUCUUUUGUCGGGGAGCAAAGCGAACCACGUGUGGCUCAUUGAGAGUACCCGAAGAAAAAGCAUCGGCUAACUCCGUGCCAGCAGCCGCGGUAAUACGGGGGAUGCGAGCGGUAACCGGAUUUUUUGGGUUUAAAGGGUGCGCAGGCGGGGGUGCAAGUCAGCGGUAAAAUUGCGGGGCUCAACCCCGUACUGCCGUUGAAACUGCAUGCCUUGAGUGCGCGAGAAGUAUGCGGAAUGCGUGGUGUAGCGGUGAAAUGCAUAGAUAUCACGCAGAACCCCGAUUGCGAAGGCAGCAUACCGGCGCGCAACUGACGCUGAUGCACGAAAGCGUGGGUAUCGAACAGGAUUAGAUACCCUUGUAGUC
rnacentral:rRNA from 1 species